CGCCUGUUUAUCAAAAACAUUGCUUUUUGUUAAUUAUUUAAAGUUUGGCCUGCUCCAUGAUUAAUUAAAUAGCCGCAGUAUUUUGACUGUGCAAAGGUAGCAUAAUCAUUAGUUUUUUAAUUGAAAGCUGGUAUGAAUGGUCGGAUGAGGAAGAUACUGUCUCACUUUUGUUUGGUUUGAAUUUUAUUUUUGAGUAAAAAAGCUUAAAUUUUAUAGAAAGACGAGAAGACCCUAUAGAGUUUAACAGGUUUGUUUUGUAAUGGAUUGAGGUUUAUAUUUUUAUUAUAAUUAGGCGUGUUUUGUUGGGGUGACAUUAGAAUUGGAUAAACUUCUUUAUAUUUUUACACUGAUUAGUGAAUACUGGAUCCUUGGUUUUGGAUUUAAAGAUUAAAUUACCUUAGGGAUAACAGCGUAAUUCUUUUGGAGAGUUCUAAUCGAUAAAAGGGAUUGCGACCUCGAUGUUGGAUUAAAGUUAAAUUUUGGUGCAGAAGCUAAAAUUUUG
rnacentral:rRNA from 1 species